GUACACUCCUACGGGAGGCAGCAGUGGGGAAUAUUGCACAAUGGGCGCAAGCCUGAUGCAGCCAUGCCGCGUGUAUGAAGAAGGCCUUCGGGUUGUAAAGUACUUUCAGCGGGGAGGAAGGCAAUACGGUUAAUAACCGUGUUGAUUGACGUUACCCGCAGAAGAAGCACCGGCUAACUCCGUGCCAGCAGCCGCGGUAAUACGGAGGGUGCAAGCGUUAAUCGGAAUUACUGGGCGUAAAGCGCACGCAGGCGGUCUGUCAAGUCGGAUGUGAAAUCCCCGGGCUCAACCUGGGAACUGCAUUCGAAACUGGCAGGCUUGAGUCUUGUAGAGGGGGGUAGAAUUCCAGGUGUAGCGGUGAAAUGCGUAGAGAUCUGGAGGAAUACCGGUGGCGAAGGCGGCCCCCUGGACAAAGACUGACGCUCAGGUGCGAAAGCGUGGGGAGCAAACAGGAUUAGAUACCCGGGUAGUCCCAUGA
rnacentral:rRNA from 1 species